rnacentral:lncRNA from 1 species
UACAUAGUUAUUUUACAUGGUACAGGACAAGAGGUGGAUAUAUACUGAAGGGCAGUACUAGCUAGGGGUGGAAACGAGCCGAGCUCGAGCGAGCUUAUCUCAGCUCAAGCUUGGCUUGAAAUUAAUUUCGAGCCUAAAUUUAGGCUCAAGCUUGGCUUGAAAUUAAUUCGAGCCGAGCUCGAGCGAGCUUAACUUCGAGUCGAGCGAGCUCGAGCCCUAAACGAGCUGCUUGAAAUUCUUAACAUCAUUCAAUCUAUACUUUAAUUUUUAUAAAAUAUUAUCUAAAAUUUGAUAUAAAAAAUAUCUAAUAGUUUAACAUAUAAAAUAAAUGCAUGAAAUACGAUAUUAUAAUACUAAAAAAAUUAGGAAAAGCGACUCUACGAGGAAGUGAAAAGGAGAGAAAGAGAGCAAUUAGAGUAGGAUUUUGCUGGUUUGGUUUUGUGGGCCCAAUAAUCUAAAUUCUAUAUACAUAUAAUUAAAAUACAUAAUAUAUAUUAUUUUAUAUAAUUAAAAUAUAUAUUAUAUAUAAUUAUAUAUAGAGAGAGAGUUUGGCUACUAUAUAUACUUUUAUGAGUACAAACCCCUUUAUAUUCAUAAGUUUUCGACCGUUAGAUCUAUUCUUUUGACCAUUUUCAUCCGUUAAAUCAUACUAUUCAACGAACCACCCACUCAAUCUUAGGGGACCACUAUCAUUCUAAUCGCACAUCCAAUGGCUGAAAAUUUAUAAGUAUAAAGGGGUUUAUACUUAUAAGAGUAUUAGUAGCCUGAGCAUAUAUAUAUAUAUAUAGAAUUAGGCUACUAUACUAUUAAUAGCACAAACCGUUUGCUAUUAGGUUUUCUGCCCUUAAAUGAAAGGAUGUGCGGUUAGGAUGAUAGUAGCCCCCUAGGGUUGAGUGGGUGGCUAGUUAAAUAUUAUGAUCUAAUGGAUGAAAAUGGCUAAAGGAUAGAUCUAACAGCAGAAAACUCGAUAGCACCAAAUAUUUGGUACUAUCGAUAGUAUAAUCUCUCUCUCUCUCUCUCUCUCUCUCUCUCUCUCUCUCUCUCUCUCUAUAUAUAUAUAUAUAUAUAUAGACAGAUCUAACGGCAAAAAACUCAAUAGUACAAAGCGCUUAGUACUAUAGAUAGUAUAGAUAGUAUAGUAGCCGAACUAUAUAUAUAUAUAUAGAGAGAGGGAGUCCGACUACUAUAUUAUCGAUAGUACUAAAUACUUGGUACUAUCAAAUUUUGUGCCGUUAGAUCAUAUCAUUCAACUAACCACCCACUUAACCUAGAGGAUUACUGUCAUUCCA